rnacentral:rRNA from 1 species
GCAGCGGGCUGGUAUCCUUUGGGGUUUUACAGCCUUGCUGAAUUAUUCACCCGUGUCUUUUGCGUACUUCUUGUUUCCUUGGUGGGUUCGCCCACCAUAGGACAAACCAUUAAACCUUUUGUAAUGGCAAUCAGCGUCAGUAAAAAAAUUAAUAAUUACAACUUUUAACAACGGAUCUCUUGGUUCUGGCAUCGAUGAAGAACGCAGCGAAAUGCGAUAAGUAGUGUGAAUUGCAGAAUUCAGUGAAUCAUCGAAUCUUUGAACGCACAUUGCGCCCUUUGGUAUUCCAAAGGGCAUGCCUGUUCGAGCGUCAUUUGUACCCUCAAGCUUUGCUUGGUGUUGGGCGUCUUGUCUCCAGUUCGCUGGAGACUCGCCUUAAAGUAAUUGGCAGCCGGCCUACUGGUUUCGGAGCGCAGCACAAGUCGCGCUCUCUUCCAGCGAAGGUCAGCAUCCACAAAGCCUUUUUUCAACUUUUGACCUCGGAUCAGGUAGGGAUACCCGCUGAACUUAAGCAUAUCAAUA